rnacentral:lncRNA from 1 species
GUACACAAAGGUUGUGGAUCAGGUACUGACUGGUGAUGAUUUGCCAUCUUUUCGAUGCUUGUCUUCAAUAUAAACAAAAAUGUGAUAAUAGUAACAUAAAAAUGUGAAAGCAACAUUACUCCAACAGUUAAGGUGCUAAAAUUACACUGUGCUUUCCUCAGGUUCAUUGACUGCCAGCUCUUAUAGAUCCACUUAGCUAUUUCAUUACUGCCAGAAAAAGCUCAUUUUCGGUACUUUUACGUUUUGACACCUUAUUUUAAGACAUAUUGGCAACAGAUGCAGCAAUACAUGAAAUUGUAGCUUAACUUUAGUUGUUUUGAAUGGAAAUAAUACAGAAAUAAUUGCUCAAAAGGCUUUUGAGAAUAAUUACAUGAAAUUUCAGAGCAGCAACUCAAGUAACGUGACUGAAAAGAAUACCUUGUGGUUUUACUGAAAGUGCAGAGUAAGAAAAAAAUGUGAAAUUACAAAUAUUUAAUUGCUAGUGGUUCCCGGUCACACACAAAAAAAAAAAAAAAACUUUUGGUGGCAUGUACAGUCGCCACAGUGAUGCUCAUGCUAUGCGGGAAAGCCAUGGUUUCAGAAAUGUGAAAAUUGGCAUGUGCCUAUUGUGAAGCAAGAGCUUAUUUUUACUCAUUGCAGCAAGCAACAGAUUUUUUUCUUUUGGCAUUCUUUAGGCUCUUGAGGCAACAGUUGUCAGGUUGCGAAACACACACUAACUUCCUUGUACUCGAUUAUCGUGCUCAAUCAGCUUCUCUUUGUAAGCAAGCUGGCCUAGUCGUGCACCUUGAACUGACACUGGAGCCUUUGCAUGCUUUGUGUGGGUAUUUCUGGCAAUGAAAAAGGACAUUUGCAUGGGCUGUGUUCAAGAAGUACCAGAUGAGACUGCUAGGCAAGUCUCUGCAGAAUAUUGGUCUGGAACCAACUGUGUGCUUGAGGGACAAGCAGCUGCUACAAGUGUUAUCGAAGAAGAAUGCAGUGAAGUAUGUAGCGCAAGCUUUGCUCUCCAAUAACACCGAAUGCAGCUGUCAACCUCAAGGAGGAUAAGGGCACGAGCAAGUCAUUCUGCAGUACAAUUCCUUCAUGGGCUAGUCGAUAAACUUCACUUCAUGUCACUCCACCUCCUACGGGAUGGAACAGGGAA